rnacentral:miRNA from 1 species
CCAGGGAUUUUGUUAAAAAUACAGAUUCCCGAGUGUGACCUAAGACCUACCAAAGCGGAAUCCCAGGAGGUGGGGGCCAGGAAUCUGCAUUUUAAC